UACGGAGGGUGCAAGCGUUAUCCGGAUUCACUGGGUUUAAAGGGUGCGUAGGUGGGUUGGGAAGUCAGUGGUGAAAUACUUUCGCUUAACGAAGGAACUGCCAUUGAUACUAUCAAUCUUGAAUGUAGUGGAGGUAGGCGGAAUGCGUCAUGUAGCGGUGAAAUGCUUAGAUAUGACGCAGAACACCAAUUGCGAAGGCAGCUUGCUACACUAACUAUUGACACUGAGGCACGAAAGCGUGGGGAUCAAACAGGAGU
rnacentral:rRNA from 1 species